AGUGAACGCUGGCGGCAGGCCUAAUACAUGCAAGUCGAACGGCAGCACAGCAGAGCUUGCUCUGUGGGUGGCGAGUGGCGGACGGGUGAGGAAUACGUGGGAAUCUGCCCAGUCGUGGGGGAUAACGUAGGGAAACUUACGCUAAUACCGCAUGCGCCCUUCGGGGGAAAGCCGGGGACCUUCGGGCCUGGCGCGAUUGGAUGAGCCCACGUCGGAUUAGCUAGUUGGCGGGUAAAGGCCCACCAAGGCGACGAUCCGUAGCUGGUCUGAGAGGAUGAUCAGCCACACUGGAACUGAGACACGGUCCAGACUCCUACGGGAGGCAGCAGUAGGGAAUAUUGGACAAUGGGCGCAAGCCUGAUCCAGCCAUGCCGCGUGAGUGAAGAAGGCCCUCGGGUUGUAAAGCUCUUUUGUCCGGAAAGAAAGCGCCGGGUUAAUACCCUGGUGUCCUGACGGUACCGGAAGAAUAAGCACCGGCUAACUUCGUGCCAGCAGCCGCGGUAA
rnacentral:rRNA from 1 species